rnacentral:rRNA from 1 species
ACAGUGGACGCGAGCAUCUUUGUUGUAAGUGUUUAAGAGCGUACGGUGGAUGCCUUGGCACCAGGAGCCGAUGAAGGACGUAGGAGGCUGCGAUAAGCCUCGGGGAGCUGUCAACCGAGCUGAGAUCCGAGGAUGUCCGAAUGGGGAAACCCAGCCACAGUGAUGUGUGGUUACCCGCGCCUGAAUAUAUAGGGCGUGUGGAGGGAACGUGGGGAAGUGAAACAUCUCAGUACCCACAGGAAGAGAAAACAACAUGUGAUUCCGUGAGUAGUGGCGAGCGAAAGCGGAAGAGGCUAAACCAUGGGUGUGUGAUAGCCGGCGGGCGUUGCAUUCGUGGGGUUGUGGGAUCCGUCUUGUCAAUUCUGCCGGAUUGGCCGACAGUGAGAAAUCAUCGUGUUAGUCGAAGUGGUCUGGAACGGCCUGUCGUAGAGGGUGAGAGUCCCGUAGACGAAAACAUGGUGACUGUCGUGACGGACACCCGAGUAGCAGCGGGCCCGUGAAAUCUGCUGUGAAUCUGUCGGGACCACCCGAUAAGCCUGAAUACUCCCUGGUGACCGAUAGCGGACUAGUACCGUGAGGGAAAGGUGAAAAGUACCCGGGAGGGGAGUGAAAUAGUACCUGAAACCGUGCGCUUACAAUCCGUCAGAGCCUGCGCCACUUUUGGUGGGUGGGUGAUGGCGUGCCUUUUGAAGAAUGAGCCUGCGAGUUAGCGGCAUGUCGCGAGGUUAACCCGUGUGGGGUAGCCGUAGCGAAAGCGAGUCCGAAUAGGGCGUUUGUAGUGGCAUGUUCUAGACCCGAAGCGGAGUGAUCUACCCAUGGCCAGGGUGAAGCGACGGUAAGACGUCGUGGAGGCCCGAACCCACUUAGGUUGAAAACUGAGGGGAUGAGCUGUGGGUAGGGGUGAAAGGCCAAUCAAACUCCGUGAUAGCUGGUUCUCCCCGAAAUGCAUUUAGGUGCAGCGUCGCGUGUUUCACUCUGGAGGUAGAGCUACUGGAUGGCCGAUGGGCCCCACAAGGUUACUGACGUCAGCCAAACUCCGAAUGCCAGAGUGUGAGAGCGCGGCAGUGAGACUGCGGGGGAUAAGCUUCGUAGUCGAGAGGGAAACAGCCCAGAUCGCCGGCUAAGGCCCCUAAGCGUGUACUAAGUGGAAAAGGAUGUGGGGUCGCGAAGACAACCAGGAGGUUGGCUUAGAAGCAGCCACCCUUGAAAGAGUGCGUAAUAGCUCACUGGUCAAGUGAUCCUGCGCCGACAAUGUAGCGGGGCUCAAGUACACCGCCGAGCCAGUAAUGGCGAAGCUGCGGGUCUACGGGCCUGUGUGCAGUGGUGGUAUGGGUAACCAUCGUGCAAGGUAGCGCCGGAUGAUCCAGGUGUGGGGCUGCAAGUUCCGACCUGCACGAAUGGCGUAACGACUUCUCUGCUGUCUCAACCACAGACUCGGCGAAAUUGCAUUACGAGUAAAGAUGCUCGUUACGCGCGGCAGGACGAAAAGACCCCGGGACCUUCACUAUAGCUUGGUAUUGGUGUUCGGUUCGGUUUGUGUAGGAUAGGUGGGAGACUGUGAAGCGGGCACGCCAGUGUUCGUGGAGUCGUUGUUGAAAUACCACUCUGAUCGUAUUGGACAUCUAACCUCGGACCAUGAUCUGGUUCAGGGACAGUGCCUGGUGGGUAGUUUAACUGGGGCGGUUGCCUCCCAAAAUGUAACGGAGGCGCCCAAAGGUUCCCUCAGCCUGGUUGGCAAUCAGGUGUCGAGUGCAAGUGCACAAGGGAGCUUGACUGUGAGACUGACAGGUCGAGCAGGGACGAAAGUCGGGACUAGUGAUCCGGCACCGGCAAGUGGAAGCGGUGUCGCUCAACGGAUAAAAGGUACCCCGGGGAUAACAGGCUGAUCUUCCCCAAGAGUCCAUAUCGACGGGAUGGUUUGGCACCUCGAUGUCGGCUCGUCGCAUCCUGGGGCUGGAGUAGGUCCCAAGGGUUGGGCUGUUCGCCCAUUAAAGCGGCACGCGAGCUGGGUUUAGAACGUCGUGAGACAGUUCGGUCUCUAUCCGCCGCGCGCGUUAGAAACUUGAGGAAGGCUGUCCCUAGUACGAGAGGACCGGGACGGACGAACCUCUGGUGUGCCAGUUGUUCCGCCAGGAGCACUGCUGGUUAGCUACGUUCGGAAGGGAUAACCGCUGAAAGCAUCUAAGCGGGAAGCCUGUUCCAAGAUGAGGUUUCUCACCCCCUCGAGGGGGUAAGGCCCCCGGCAGACCACCGGGUUGAUAGGCCAGAACUGGAAGCACAGUAAUGUGUGGAGGUGACUGGUACUAAUAGGCCGAGGACUUACCACAA